UGAAAUGUAUUUAAAACCGAUAUUAAUCCGAUCACUCAAACCACUUCAGAAGGUGGUCUGAAACGCAUUUAAAACAGAUAUUAAUCCGAUCAUUCAAACCACUUCAGGAGGUGGUCUGAAACGCAUUUAAAACAGAUAUUAAUCCGAUCAUUCAAACCACUUCAGGAGGUGGUCUGAAACGCAUUCAAAACAAAUAUUAAUCCGAUCACUUAAACCACUUCAGGAGGUGGUCUGAGACACUCCAAAUAACUCCAAUCCAGAUUAAUUAAUUUGCAUAUUCCUUCCAAUGCAGCAAUCAGAUUUCCGUCUGACUAACCCAAGACACAUAGCUAUCGAGUGUGAAAGCAAGUGGUUAAAAUCUGAUCAAGACAAAAUGUGUAAAGGGGUUUGACAUUCAUGAAUGUGAACUGCCAAGAUAGACAAAUCCAAUCUAAACAAAAAAUCUGAAUUGAUUAGUAAGGUUUGUACUGUGAACAUAACCUUUAAGUGGCCCAAAUCGGAUUCGAACAGGUUGGAUUUAUUGUGUUACUUGCUGGUCACACUGCCAAACAGAAACCAAAAAAAAUGAUCAGAUUUGGACCACAGUUAACCUGCUGUGUGAACGUAACCGUAGUUUUUUUUGUUUUUAACUGUUACUGUUUUAGUCAUAUUUUAGUUUAGAGGUACUUAUUUACUAACAAUGCAUCUUUUCUUGUUUAUCAACAGCUUUUUUUGUGCAGACUUGCUAAUCCCUCUGUAUUUUUCAUUUUGUAUUUUGUAUUUCACGUUUUGUAUUUUAGCUAGCAGGUGUUCGCACAGUACAACCCACAUUGUGGUGCAGUUAACAAUUAUAAUGAUUCAUGAAAAUCAAACCAAUGUACGACUUACGGUUGUUAACCUGAUUUGACAGUUUGUGUAUAACACCAUGUUCUAAAGAUCUGCUGCUUUUAAAUCCCAAUGUCGUUGUCCUUGUAUUUAUUAUUUUUCUCCCGUAACUUUACAGAUAUGUAUGAAAUUUGCUGAUAAUCACUGUACUGCACUGUACUGAUUCCUAUAAAAACCUAUAUAAAUACUUUA